rnacentral:rRNA from 1 species
UACGUAGGGGGCGAGCGUUGUCCGGAUUUAUUGGGCGUAAAGAGCGUGUAGGCGGCCAGGUAGGUCUGCUGUGAAAACUCGAGGCUCAACCUCGAGACGUCGGCGGAAACCAUCUGGCUAGAGUCCGAAAGAGGAGAGUGGAAUUCCUGGUGUAGCGGUGAAAUGCGCAGAUAUCAGGAAGAACACCCGUGGCGAAGGCGGCUCUCUGGGACGGUACUGACGCUGAGACGCGAAAGCGUGGGGAGCAAACAGG